CCAGUUUGCUGUGCUUGAGACUGCAGUCGUCUGGGUGCUUUAUUAGUUACGUCAGGGAUGCCCUGACACCGGUGGCCGGCGGUGGGGAGCAUCUUUCUCCUCCCUACCCCGAGUGCAACCACACUCGCCCGCCAGCCUCCCCAUCUGACCCACCUCUACGUCGGGGGAAACGGUGGCCUGCGCCACCACUGACGGCGGCCCAUGCGCAUCGACACAUUGAGUACCCCUGACUAUUUUAUUAACUUAUUAUGAACCAGAUCUUUUGUUACAUUCUGAGAGGACUUUUUUACGUCGUCGGAAACGGAUUUCUACAAUGUUCCUAUAAAGACGAGGAUGGCUGUCGAUGGUUGGAAGGAUGGUUGUUAUUAAUACUGCUGCUUUCGGACAAGUACACAAGUACACGGAGACCACACUUUAUUCUGGCUUUCGACUUUUGAACAUAUCUGGAACAUUUGGUGGAAAUAACAAUCGCCUAUUUGAAACAUUCGUUCGAGGAUGGUGACAAAAAUUCCUUGGCUAAUUAUGUCGUGUUACAUGCUAUUAAAUUUUGUUUGUACUUCUA